rnacentral:rRNA from 1 species
GAUUAACGCUAGCGGCAGGCCUAAUACAUGCAAGUCGAACGGCAGCGGACUCAGCAAUGGGUGCCGGCGAGUGGCGCACGGGUGCGUAACGCGUAUGCAAUCUACCUUUAACUGGGGGAUAGCCCCGAGAAAUCGGGAUUAAUACCCCAUAAUAUUGAGGAGGGACAUCCCUUUUCAAUUAAAGCUCCGGCGGUUUUAGAUGAGCAUGCGUGACAUUAGCUAGUUGGUGAGGUAACGGCUCACCAAGGCAACGAUGUCUAGGGGUUCUGAGAGGAUUUUCCCCCACACUGGUACUGAGACACGGACCAGACUCCUACGGGAGGCAGCAGUAAGGAAUAUUGGGCAAUGGGCGCAAGCCUGACCCAGCCAUGCCGCGUGAAGGAUGACGGCCCUAUGGGUUGUAAACUUCUUUUGUACGGGAAAAAACCACCGGUCGUGAACCGGUGCUGAUGGUACCGUAAGAAUAAGCAUCGGCUAACUCCGUG